rnacentral:siRNA from 1 species
AGCGAUCAAAAGUUGUUCGUUUGC